GGGAUUGAGUCAAAAUAUGUAAUACCACUCUGUAUAGUUUUAAAUUCUAACCCUGGGCUGUUAUGAGUCACAAAAGACUUAUGAUUUUGAGCCGUUAAUUAUGAUAUAUUUAAAAGAGGAUUAGAUUAGUCGAAGUUGUAAUUAUCGUAUUUGCGGUUCAUAAAUUUGUAUGUCGUUUUGGUUAUUCAUACCAGUCCGGGGACAGUGCCUGGCGGGUAGUUUGACUGGGGCGGUCGCCUCCUAAAUGGCAACGGAGGCGUUUACAAAGGUUGGCUAGACUCGGAUGGAAAUCGAGUCGAUAGUGCAAAAGCAUAAGCCAGCUUUACUGCGAGACUUAUUAGUCGAUCAGUUACGAAAGUAGAAUUUAGUGAACCGACUGUCGCAAAUAGAUGCGCAGAAGAUCAUCAGAUAAAAGUUACCCCGGGGAUAACAGGCUGAUCCCAUCCAAGAGUCCAUAUCGACGAUGGGGUUUGGCACCUCGAUGUCGGCUCAUCGCAUCCUGGGGCUGGAGAAGGUCCCAAGGGUUUGGCUGUUCGCCAAUUAAAGCGGUACGUGAGCUGGGUUCAAACCGUCGUGAGACAGGUUGGUCUCCUAUCUGCUGUAGGCGUUAUUGCUUGAGAGGACUUUUUCCUAGUACGAGAGGACCGGAAAGAACAAACCUCUGGUGUACCAGCUGUUCCGCCAGGAGCACUGCUGGGUAGCUACGUUUGGACGGGAUAACCGCUGAAAGCAUAUAAGCGGGAAGCCCACCUCAAGAUUAGGCAAUUUUUGAUCUUCGGAUCAAAACGAUUUCCUGGAAGAUGACCAGGUUGAUAGGUCUCAGGUGAAAGCAGAGCGAUCUGUUAAGCCAAGAGAUACUAAUAAAUUGAACUUUAUCUCUCU
rnacentral:rRNA from 1 species